CCUUGUCUGUGCCUUGGCUAUGUCUAUGGCCAUGACUGUGCAUUGCCCCCUCCCGUUGGUAUUUUGCCCGUUUCAAGAUUGUCCCGAACGUGAUUGGUUUAAUUCCCGCGCUAACCGGUGCUUGCUAGGCUUCGCCCGAUGUCUUCGUACGUUCGAUGGGUGUCAAUGCCCUCGGAAAUGCGUUGCAUUGUGCUGAGUUGUGGCAAAGUGAACGUGCUGGCGUGUGAGUGGUGGAUGGAUUGCACGGGUUGAUUUGAUCCCUGCUUGCGCAGCGAACUUUGACCUUGCAUUCCUUUUCAUUGUUGCUUCAAGUGGAGAUUUCCCUUGAGCGGCAGUCGGGUUUCUGUGUUGCAUACCGUACGAAGGAAUAUGACCCUAAAACGAAUUUCGUCUAUUGUCGCUCAGCGGUAAUUAGGCGAACCCCGAGGUGCCUUCGGUGCUCCAUGCAUGCCUCGAUGCAAUUGUCGCCUGCGUGGUGCAUGGUUCGGCUACCAGUUCUCUCGGAUGCGGAAAGUCCCACGGCUAAGCGGUCUCCGGACUGCUUUUUGGCCCAAAACACAUUCCGAUAUUGGAACGACUGUCACGCAUCAUCCCGGUGAUGCCGAUGUCGCGAA
rnacentral:misc_RNA from 1 species